rnacentral:tRNA from 1 species
GGGAAGGUGGCUCAGUGGUAGAGUGCUUGCCUUGCAUGCAUGAAGCCCAGGAGUUCAAUUCCUCAGCACCA